UAGCUCAGGGGUAGAGCAUUACCUUGCCAAGGUAAGGGUCGUGAGUUCGAAUCUCAAG
rnacentral:tRNA from 1 species